UGCCGGAUAGCUCACUUGGUAAAGCAUCGCGUUGGGAAGCAGAAGUGACUUGUCGCGGGUUCGAUCCCCGCCUCGUAC